UUUGAUAAAGGCGUUGAAGCUCAGUGGAAAGCUAGAAUCUGAAAGUUCCAUCUUUUUUGAGUCGGUGUCUUCAGCUGUUGGUGCCAUUCAAUUUAACAGGAAUUUCUGCAAGCUUAAUGAACUCACUGAGGUCUGAUGCUAGCCUGAUAUGGAUAUAUCGAACUGCGCACCUGCAGAAGGAACUAUACCAGUGUUUCUUCAGUUCUUCAAACAUGGGAUUUUGUCAGCGAUAAUUUGUAUGCCAAAUCUAUUUAACAAACCCAACAGCAACAGUGCUUACUGUCAAUUGUUCCUGAAGGUUUCUCUCUGAGUUGCCAUCAAUGACAGAUUUUUCAAAAAAAAUUAACCUGGACUGUUCUUUGAUGGCUACAUAUUUUUGUAUGCAUUUAGAUAAAAAAAUAUUAGAAAGCAAUUUAGGAUACUACAGUAAUGUAUAUUGUUUUAACUCAUGUCUAUUGUAACUUAGUUGUAUCAUUUUGUGCACAAGAAAGUACAGUGUUACAGAAUUUUUGUAGUGUAAUUGAUGGUAUCUAAUCCAGGAUCUAUAGCUUGUUACAUGGAACCACAAACUGUGAUAUAAUACAAUUUUUGUUAACUAUCCAGGGCACCCAGUAGAACAAUCAUACCAUGCCCCCUUCAUGUUCUGUCAAAACCACCAAGGUCAAUGGUUGUUUCGAGUGGUCCUUAUGCUCUGCACUGUCUUAUAUAGCUUCCUAUGAAUUUAAAAGAUUGUUUCCAGUCAUGA